rnacentral:rRNA from 1 species
CCUACGGGUCGCAGCAGUAGGGAAUCUUCGGCAAUGGACGAAAGUCUGACCGAGCAACGCCGCGUGAGUGAAGAAGGUUUUCGGAUCGUAAAACUCUGCUGUUAGAGAAGAACAAGUAGGAGAGUAACUGCUCUUACCUUGACGGUAUCUAACCAGAAAGCCACGGCUAACUACGUGCCAGCAGCCGCGGUAAUACGUAGGUGGCAAGCGUUGUCCGGAUUUAUUGGGCGUAAAGCGAGCGCAGGCGGUCUUUUAAGUCUGAUGUGAAAGCCCUCGGCUCAACCGAGGAAGGUCAUUAGAAACUGGAGGACUUGAGUGCAGAAGAGGAGAGUGGAAUUCCGUGUGUAGCAGUGAAAUGCGUAGAUAUAUGGAGGAACACCAGUGGCGAAGGCGACUCUCUGGUCUGUAACUGACGCUGAGGCUCGAAAGCGUGGGGAGCAAACAGGAUUAGAUACCCCUAUAGUC